UACGUAGGGUGCGAGCGUUGUCCGGAUUUAUUGGGCGUAAAGGGCUCGUAGGCGGCCUGUCGCGUCGGGAGUGAAAGCCUACUGCUUAACGGUGGGUCUGCUUCCGGUACGGGCGGGCUGGAGUAUGGCAGGGGAGACUGGAAUUCCUGGUGUAGCGGUGGAAUGCGCAGAUAUCAGGAGGAACACCGGUGGCGAAGGCGGGUCUCUGGGCCAUUACUGACGCUGAGGAGCGAAAGCGUGGGGAGCGAACAGG
rnacentral:rRNA from 1 species